AUUGAACGCUGGCGGAAUGCUUUACACAUGCAAGUCGAACGAUGAACCUUAGCUUGCUAGGGGGAUUCGUGGCGAACGGGUGAGUAACAUAUCGGAACGUACCUAGUAAUGGGGGAUAACUAGUCGAAAGAUUAGCUAAUACCGCAUACGCCCUGAGGGGGAAAGUAGGGGAUCUUCGGACCUUACGUUAUUAGAGCGCCCGAUACCUGGUUAGCUAGUUGGUGGGGUAAAGGCCUACAAAGGCGACGAGCAGUGGCUGGUCUGAGAGGACGACCAGCCACACUGGAACUGAGACACGGUCCAGACUCCUACGGGAGGCAGCAGUGGGGAAUGUUGGACAAUGGGGGCAACCCUGAUCUAGCCAUUCCGCGUGAGUGAAGAAGGCCUUCGGGUUGUAAAGCUCUUUCGCAAGGGAAGAAAACUUACAUUCUAAUAAAGUGUGAGGCUGACGGUACCUUGAUAAGAAGCACCGGCUAACUACGUGCCAGCCGCCGCCGUAA
rnacentral:rRNA from 1 species